UUGGGUUAGUGGCGGACGGGUGAGUAACGCGUGGAUAACCUGCCGUAUACAGGGGGAUAACACUUAGAAAUAGGUGCUAAUACCGCAUAAGCGCACGGUUCCGCAUGGAACAGUGUGAAAAACUCCGGUGGUAUACGAUGGAUCCGCGUCUGAUUAGCCAGUUGGCGGGGUAACGGCCCACCAAAGCGACGAUCAGUAGCCGGCCUGAGAGGGUGAACGGCCACAUUGGGACUGAGACACGGCCCAAACUCCUACGGAAGGCAGCAG
rnacentral:rRNA from 1 species